rnacentral:misc_RNA from 1 species
AAGAACACAACAACAAUACCCCCCAUACCGGCGUACAUCUCUUUUAUACUGCCAUCAUUAUCAUCUCUCCCCCUUCUCGUGCCUAUCGUGUUCUCUCAUCGGGCUUGUCCCUGCUUUGCUUCCUCUCUCGUUCCCCUCUUCCCUCUUCCCUCUUCCCUCCUCGUGCGCAUGUGUGCUUCCUCUCUUUCUCUCUUUGUCUGCCGCGUCUCCUCGUACACGAUUGUGUUUUGUCUCUCCUGCUGUUUCCUCGUCACCCUGCUCUUCUCUCUCCUUCCCUUCAACGUGUUGUCAGCGCAGAGGUUUCUGCGUGUGCAGGUGUGUGUCUGCGUGCCCUGAAUGAAACUAGUGAUCCACAACGAGUCGCGCUCAUGGUAGAGUCGCACAGCAGCAACAUCAAGAAACGAAAAGACGGCGACAACUCUCUACCUUAUCCGCCUCUCUGUUUUCCACGGGCCGCGCGCGUGCACAGGCUUUGUUGAAGCUGACGCGCAGCACUAGGGACGGCGCACAGACCCUCCCCCCCCACACACACAAAAAAAAGGCAAGGAGAAGCGCUAAAGUGAAACGCCACACCCGCGAAAAAAGGGGGGAAGCAGCUGAGGGCAAUCCAGCGCGAAGAAACGGAAGGGAAACUGAGACGUAGAAAGGAGAAAAAAGGACGAAAAAGUGUGCGAGAGGACGAAGCCAGCACACAGACAGAUAGAGGCAAAAAGAAGUACACGCAAGCGCACAUAUAUACACACGCAGUGAACGUUAGUUCACUCACCGACUUACCGACUCACGCGAGCACACGCGCCGAUAUAGGGGCACGUACUUAUCAACCUCUAGUUGCCAAGAACAGCAACUACGACGCAAAAAAAAAGCAAGCAGACCGGGGGCGCAAUAAGCUCCAGUCAGGGGAGGGAAGACCAAUAAAAACAAAGGAGAAAAACAGUCAAGGGUGAAGGAAACAAACGUGGACAUCAAUCAACCGUACAAACACGCAACAAACAAACACAGACCGAGAGACAGAGAAGUGCUGCCAGUAAUACCGAUUGUGCGUGUGCCUGUGUGUGUUGUGUGCGUGUUGCGUGCGCGCAUGUGUGUGUGUGGGCUAUAUGCAUGUGUAUGUAUGUAAAUGUCUUGCCCUUGACAGUACCGCUACUCUUACGACCAUUAUCACUAUUUGUUUUUUUUCUUUUUUAUCAUUAUUCUUUUCAUCAACUCUCUCGGUCUCUCUGUCUCUGUCUUCCUUCUCUUUUUUCUUUCUGGACUUGUUUCGGCUCUGCUUUACUUGCUUUCGCUUCAUUUUGUGUAGUAGUUGCUACGGGACCGCCUUUCCUUCUCCUGUCUACCCCUCAGCCCUUCAACCCUCAUACGCACAGAGAGACACACACAUAUUCACACGCACUCAAUCACGCCAUCUUUUUUUUUUCAUUUUGGUGUGUGUGUGUGCUUCUGUAUACCUGUGUUUCUACCACGCUCUAGCACCGACUCGAUAGUGAAAGCAGAGAGGCGCAGCAACAAGAGCAGCAACGAAAAGACACAGGAUCACUAACGAACAGCCUCUAUCCCUUCUUCCCCGAACAAGAACAACCCUACGACAAAAAAAGAAAAACGAACAAAGCCAAGCGCCACAAGCAACAAGCACACACACACACACACACACACACACAAAAGGCGACGAGCGAGUGAAGGGAACAAGCUUAAAGGCCUGAGGUGAGUUGUCUCAAGACAUUCGUGAUACGCUUACUUCUGUCCUUUUUCUUCUUUCCUGUUCAGUUCAACGUUUGCUUUACCUUUUCGUUUUUCAUCUCUUUCCACUUCUAUUUUUUUCGUCGGCUCGUUUCCUGCGUCUUCCAUCUUUAUUUUCCCGUGGUGUGUUUGUCUUCGAGUGUGUAUGUGUGUCUGUGCGUGCGUGCGUAGUUUUCCGUCCGCUCUUCACCUCUACUUCUCUCUCAACUCUUAUUCCCACUUCAGCCUCCCUCACCCACGCAGCUGUUUGACGCACAGAUACAUCUCAAACUUCUCUCUGUUUCUGUUCAUAUAAAAUCAUUCUUUACUUUGGCUUCUCCACUCUUUUUUUUUCGGUCUCCUUUUCUUGCUCGCCCUCACUCCUGCUCCUCUCCUCCCCGUUCUCUGCCCCUCUUCUUCCCCUUGCUUCCUCUUUUUUUUUGGUCGUUUCGUUGGCGUGUACCUCAUGCGCGCUCGCACCGGUUCGCGGUGGGCCUCGUGACUUGCGCAUACUCUUUCGUCCACACACCGAACACGAACGCGCACACGUUUUUUUCGUGUCGUUUGCCGUUCCGGCGCGUGACGCUGGUCUCGCGCUUCGCGUUCGUGUAUUCUGUUGUCCUUUAACCUCUUUGCCACCAGCCCCUCUUUUUUGCCUUUUUCUUCUCCGUUCCCUUGCACGUUUACUUCCGAGCUCUCCGGAACUUUUUUUUCGAGUUGUGUGUUUGCUUUCGUAGAUUGGCCCCCCCCUCCCCCGCUUCGCCCACCUGAGCGUGUGCGUCGCGGAGAUAGAGAAGACGUGCGUACGGGGGUGGGCAUGAAACAGCCCAGCGAAGAGUUGUGCAAAGCCCAGAUAUAAGGCAUCUUUCGAAAAAAAGAGUUGUUUUGCGUACCGGUUGGAGGGUGAAGUGCAUACAGCCCGCGCACACACAGAGCUAGGAAAAGCGAAAGCAGCAAAUAAAAAAAGGAUAGUAGUGCCAUAUCUAUAGGUGUUAGAGGGGGGGGGGAGGGCGGCACGCGCACGGUGGGAAAACGUUCCGAAUGUGUUAACUGCAUUUUUACAAAAAACAUACGCAUACACAGUGUAGGUGGCGCGUCUUUUUUUCUUCCUUUUAUUGGUGAGCGGUUGCGUCUUGCGCAUCUGACGCUUGCGUUGGCUUUUCACCUUUCGCUCUCUCUGUUCGCCCUCCCUCUUCUUUGCGCGUGUGCGAGUUUGUGCGUUUGUCUGCGAGUAGUAUCAUCUUCGUCUCUCCUCAUCGCUUUUUUCGUUUUCCAUUGUGCUCUCUCCCCCUCCGUAUUUCUUUAUUUUUCCUUUUCGCACCUGCUCUGGAGGGCUCUACUCGACGACAGGCUUUCGCCCACCCCCUCACCUUCCCAGAUUGUUUUCUCUCUUGCUGCGUUUCUUGCUCUGCUUUUGUUCCUCUCUUCACUCGCAUACCCCCUCCCCCUACACACACAUACCAGGUAACGGACUAUUUCUUCGUCUUUUUUUUCAGCGGUGUAUCGUUUUCUUUGACUCUUUUCAGCAUCACCGCGAUCUUUCCUCUGUGCAUUUGACGCAGCUGAGCACCGUCUUGUGCCUUCGUCUCUCCACCUCUUUCUGUCCCCUCCUUUCUCUUGCACGCUCCCUUUCCCGCUUCUUUCAACGUCUCUCUGUGUCUUGUACGAGGUUUUCUCUUUGUGCGCGCGCGGGAGAGAAAGCUUCGGUGAGUCGUGUGUACGUAUAUGGAAGCACAACUCCUCCUUUAGAGUACACACACACACACACAUACACGUGCACACGAACCCAAAGGGACCGAGAAAGAGCAAGGAAGGUGUGCGUACCCCUACAUCUCAUUUUAGACCUAUCCCUUUCUUCUUAGCCUUCUUUUAGCUGCUUUCCUGCGUUCUUUAAGGGGAAGAGGACACGUGAGCAAGCUGCAUCAGCACACAAGCGUGAAAACUCUUGGCGAAAAGGGGAAGAAGCAGGCACAAGGGCGCCACGUGUGCCCAGAGAGAGAGGAAGAGAGGCGAUAAGAGUGAAGUGGCUUGACCUCCUUAAAAGGAACGACGAUUCAGGCAGCGGUAACGGGAGAGGUAUCCAUCAAGUGCUGGGAGUGAUUUACGCACAUACACGCACUCAAACAGAGCUGCACGGCAGAGUGGACUCCACAUUUCACUAUAUAUGUGUAUGUUUUUUUUUUCUGCCCUCUUUUUGCUUCUGUGACUGGACUCGUGCUGUGUGUGUGCUCGACUUGGAACUUCCCCCUCCCUUUUCUUUUCUCUCUUUCGCUUUAUGUUUGUCUCAAACGUCAAGUUUUGUGCACGGGUGAAUUGGUGUGUUUGUCUGACUUUCCCGGUCAUAUCAGGCUGUUUGUGUGCAUUGCUUUUUUCCUUUUUUUGUCUAUCUUCCCCAGUGCUCUCCUGCCUCCACCUGUCUUCCCCAAGUUUUUCUUCGUCUGUGCUUCUCUGCAAGUGUCUUAUACCCCCUGUACGGGUGUAUGCUUGUUUCUGCGUGCAUUUCUUCCCCACUUGUUUUCUCAUCUUCGGUUCCGCAAAAGAAAAAAGCACGUGUCGGUGACUGCGCUCUGCGUCGUCCUUGUGCACUCGCGACGGGGCGAGAGAACAAAAAAGAGAGGUGUGUCUGUGUGUGUGAAGACGAGAAACAAGAGGGUGAAAAUCAACAACAGCAAAGACACACACACACACACACACAAACACAGACGAACUGCGUGUACGUGGUGCCGUGUCCUUCCCCUUCUUCCGUUUAUCGCUGCACUCGCUGCUCUUGCCUUCCUGUUCAUACACGUUUGGUUUUGCCUUUUUCUCCGCUUUCUGCAGCCACCCUCCCUCCUUCUGCCUUCUCCGCUUCGUUCUCCACACGGCUCUCCGCCAAGGCCUCUUUACUGUCUCCGUCGCCCAUCUUUCUCUCCAUUUUUCUCGUGUUUUUGCGUCCGUGUCCCACGAGUGUUUCUCGUUUUCUUCUUUCGCCUUAUAUAUAUAUAUAUAUAUAUAUAUAUAUAUAUACGUUUUUUUUUGCCUUUUCGGGACAAGUGGCAACAGUGGGCUGCCCCUCCCCCUUUUUUCUCUUGUAUAUGGUCUUGUCUCUCUGUGUGUACACAUAUAUGCAUAGAUGUAGGUAUGGUGUACGUGUUUCCGUGUUUUUUUUUCGUGUUUGUGGUUCUGCUUUCCCACCCACUCGCCUCGAUUUUGCCGCUUUUGUCGUUUCGCUUGUUUGAUUGGUUUGAGUCUUAGUGUGUAUAUGCUUUUCUAUCUUUUUUUUUUGUAUAUCGAAUCCAUAAAUCGAUUUCUUCAUCCGUUUACGCCUGCUCCCCAUUCCCACCCCUCCGUUUUAGCGUGCAUGUAUGCGUGUGUGCGUUCAUUGGCUUCGUUUUUUUUUAUUCGUUGCUUGGUGGGGCCCUUCCUAUCCCUUUCUGGUUUUCGCCGUGCUUGUACGCCUCGCGCGUACCUGUGCCUGUGCGUCUUCGUGUGUGCUGCCGUUUGCCGCAUCUUCUAUUCUGCUGUGCUCUCGCCCUCCCCCUCUCUCUCUCGCCUUUGUUGCUCUUCGCUCCGUUUCGACAGCUUGGCCAUUGUCUAUCGUGCAGGUCGACACAUUCCCAAACGUAUCACCGCCACCACCAUCUCAGAAAACAGGGAAAGGCAAAAUUGCCAAUACUAGUGCACGAAGAAAUCGGGGAAAAAGGAAGGCGCACGGCAAGGGGCGGUGCUUUUCCGCGGACGUAGUCGCAGUCACUGAAGCACAUACAAAGCGCUUGGCUCGUCUUCUCAACGCGCGUGCGCGUGAUUACAACGCCUCGCUCGCUUUCUCUGUACUGCCGCUUGACUGCGUGUGCGUGUGUGCGUGUGUGCGUGUGCUCGCGCAUACAAACACUGUGCAUACGUGCACGCAUACUCGCACUUUUCCAACAAACAGCAAAAACGAUUUUUUUUUUGUUUCGCUUUCGUCUAUACAUACACAUACAUAUAUAUGCACAUAACCGUUCUCAGUUUAACCUGCAAAGAAGACAGCAAAUUCCAACUGGAGGUGAACCAGCCGGUGAGUGCGCUGCCACCGAAAAGAAAGCGACAUUGCUCAAGAACGGAAGAGGAAAGUUUUUUUUCAAGCUGCGUCUGUCUGUCUGUCUCCCUCUCUGUGUGGUACUGUCCGUGACCUCCUUUAUCGUUGCUGGCUCGCUUUCGAGUCGUCUGCAGAAGACAGACGCAGACAAGAAAGAGUGAAGGUGAAAGAGGUGCGCUGGAUUGUGAGAGCGAGAGGGAUCGUGCAAGAAGCGCGAAAAAGGGUAGAAACGAAGAGGAAAAGAGUGGAGGAGAGCAAAAAAACGUAAAGUUUGACAGAGACGUCCCUCUUGUUUUACCUGUGGGCCGGCACUUGCGGACACACGCCGCACCACAGAAAAAGAAAAGCAAACCGAAAAAAAAAAAGAUCGGCUUGGGUGGACGGAACGGACGCUCUCGGAUCGUCGGCGAAGCUUUGCGAAUUUGAUUUCGCUUGCAGUUUUGUUUACUGCGCUACUUUCAUCUUGCCUCGUCGCAGAUACCUGUUUUGUUUUAUCCGUUUUUCUCCCCUUCCUCGUCUCCCCUACGCUCUCACGUCCUCUGUCUCGCUACUCGUCUCCCGUCUUCGCCUGCUCCACACGAUUAGACGCUUCCUUUUUUUUUUCCCAUCUUUCCUCUCCGGCUCGCAUUCGCGGUUUCUGACCCCUUUUUUGUUGUUUGUGUGUGUUUGUGCCCACCUCUUACCCCUCCCCCCGCCCGCCCGCCUCUUCGUUUCCAUUUGUUCCUCCCUUGUUCUUCCUGUCUGGGCUUUGCUUCUGGCUUCGGUGUGAGUUUCUUACGCGUAAACAUUGUUUUCGUGCGUUCUCUGUGCGCUCACGACCUCGUCUCCGUGCCGUUACAGCUCUCCGGAGUCCAGUGUUGUUGUUCUCCGUUGCUCUGUGCCGCCAAGUCGCCUUCCUCAUCACCGUCCCCUCAUUCCCCCCUCAUCUCUUCGUGUCUCUCUCUUUUUCUCUCCGUGUCUGUGUUAGUGCGUUCUUGUUUGUAUUCGGGUGUGUUUAUUCCUCCCACGUGUCUCCACUACUCGGGUCAUCUUGCUUGCUUUCCCGUACUUCAGCGUGUGCACGUCCUACGAGUACGUUGGUAAGCGCACCCCUCUCGUACCCCUCUUCUACCGUCUUCUGUGUGUGUGUGCGCGCGCGUCCCCUAUCUCUCUCUCUCUUUGCUUUCGGGUGUGCUGGAGUGCGCGUGUUAGCGGCGCUGCCUCCGCGUUACUGAAAGCACUUCUCGUUUCCAAUUUUUUUGUUGUUUAUUCGAAAACUUCUCUCUUUGCGUGCUUGCCGGUCACUUCUUCCCUCUUUCCUACUCUCUGCUGCGUUCGUCGCCCCGACCCCCUGCCCCGCUUCUUUCUCGCCUUCUCUUCUGUCUGUUGUGUAGCAGAGCACCUUCCUCCUUUUCUUUGCCAGCUUCUCUCUUUUUUUUUUGUUUUUGGUUUCCUCUUCUUGUUCCCCCUUUCGUCUGCUCGGAUGUCAUCAAACCCGUCUUCAAGUCCCCCACCACGAGUGCACUCGCCGCAGCGCCUUCCUCAGGGCAUCUAUGGUGGUGCUGCUCGUGCACUCGCCGUCGCGGCAUGUCCUUUAUGGACCCGUGGUAUCGCGGGUGACGCUGGUGUGCCGGCCUCAGCGCACAGUGGCUACGAGACAAAUCACAGCCGUAGUGAGUUGGCGCAAGCCCAUCAGCGGCACGCCCACGCAUUACCAUCACCCAUUAAAGCCGACCCAUCGACGACAGGUCCGCCGACACCACCACAGAAGCCACAGCGAUCCUCGGCUGACCUGCUGGUGACGGUGCCCACUGCAGCCGUGACCAAAUCCGCCAGCGACGGCCCUCAUGCCACAGAUCACGCUCGUCCCAGCACGCGAGCCCGGCAGCAGCCGCAACACCUCACACAGCUCAGCGCCUCCACGGCAGACGAGGGCAGCGCUACUGCUGCUGCGCCGCCUCUCUGGAGCGUGCUACCGCCAUGGGCGCAGCUUGACUUUGCAGCUUUUGACGGCAGGAAAUUCUCGGUAGACACGGCUCCCAUCUCUGGCGGCGGCGAGGGCGGCCCUCCGUGGGAGCUCAUCACAGCUCAGAACCGGAUCACCAAGCCGCAGCCCAUCCAAGCAGAGCGCACAAGGGACAGCAAAGCCCGCUCGUACCUGCGCGUGCAGCGGCAAGUGCCACGCGAGCAGCAGUCAUCGUCGCCUCAAGUCCGUACGGCCGCUGGCGGGGUCUCCAUCAUAGCGGACGCAUCCAGCUUCGCCUCCUCCCCUUUGUUUGAGUGGGUGCCGUAUGAUGGAUGGGAUGACAGCGACCUCUGCCAAGGGAAAGGAGGUGGGUACUACAGGCGAGAUGCCUCGGGCCGGCAGUACCGUGUCACGCAUCGACUUCGCCCUGGUGACUUGUCAGGACCGUUAGCGGCGAUGGAAUCCGGCGCCACCACCCCCGGGCAGACGCAGGGCCCAGAUGGUGUUGGUGGGGCAGCGAUACCAGUCACCGUUAAUGCCAACCCCGCGGUUCCCUCGCCGCAGCGCACCGGGGAAGCCACCUGCGCUGACCUAGAUGCCCCACAGAGAGGUUUGCAGCAGCAGCACCGGCACAAGCGGAGAGCCGCUGCGCCGGCGGCGAACGCCUCACCGCUGGCGUUUCGCGACACCGUGACGACUGAUAAACCGCGCGGCGUGCGGCGCGACAACCACGCAGAGGAGAACAGGGGCGAGGAUAAUGGCGGCGGUAGUGGUGGUGGUGGGGCUGGUGAUGCCGUCGGACUUGGGCACGAAGGCUUCACCACAACCAUGGUGACACCACCACCACUGCUCUCGUCCGCCGCUGUCGCACAAGGCACCUACGCGUUGCGGCACUUCCAGUUUCAGCACGCCAUCGCUGCGGCGGCACCGUCUUCCUUGGGCUUCCCAGGCGCGGGAGCAGCAGCGGCUGCGCACCGUACCAGCAGCGGCGUCGCCGGCUCCUUUUUCCUCCCUCUCGAAGCGGUGAUACGCAAGGCGCUGCCGGUUUCGCGCGGGGGCUUCUCCUCCCGAGCCUGCAGCGUGUACACCGGUGUGCGAUCUGACGGGACGUUGUCUAUCAUAAUGCUGGAGGAGUAUCCCGGCUACACGGAAUCCACGCCAGCGCAACCCCCGCGGGCAACGGCGUCAUCUCCUGCGUUCCUCGCUACUACCGCGGAGGGCACCCCCACCGUCACGGGCGCGCGAGAGGGCCACCACUCCACCACGUCUCCUGCACCGCCGACACGGCAGGACUGGACGUGGUUACCACCCAAAGCGUCGGCAGAGCAACCAGCGCUUUUGCCGUCUGCAGACACUGACGCAUCUCGUCAGCUGCUGGCCACCGUACCCCAGUCUGCUGCUGCUGGCGUGGCAGGUGCGACGUCGUCUACCAACCCACAUCGGCAGGGCCCCAUAGGCACUGGCGGUGUUGUCAACGAGGGGGCGGCUAUCAGGGACGCCUGCGCCGGCCUCACGUCCGGUUCUCCUCCUCGCGCACCACCGACUCCUAUGCCUCCUCCGCCGCCAGAAAGUGGCGACUCACCGUAUGCGGCCUCACGGGAUAGGGUUGACCUCACUCGACUCGGUGUCGCUACAGCAACGGUGAACGCAGCCGCGGUGGCGGCGUCGCCGAUGAUUGCUUUGCGGGGGCAGAGCGGCUCCUCCGUUCCACCGGGCGGUGGAAGAGUCUUUCAGAGGCACUGGCUCCCGCUCGGGUUCUGCGCUCUUCCCGUCGCCGCGGGCGGCGACAACGGCGCCUUGGCACCCGUAUCGUCUUCUGGGACGCCAGCAGUGGCGGAUGUCGCCUCGCGGGCAGCGGCCACUAUGGGCGCGGUGAUGCCAGAGUCUACAGAGCAGACGCACCUGGCUGGCUGCGACGAGGGAGCUAGACGUGGCCCAGUGCCAGCGGUAGCGAGGACGGUAUGGACGACGCGCGUGACGGACGCGGCGGCUACUGGACGCAAACCCCUUCCUGCACCAGCCCGCGUCAUACCCUCUCUCACCCUCUUCAACCCAACGGAACUGCCCUCGAAAGGCACCACCAGCGCAUCCCUCUCCGCCCCUCAAAGUGCCGAGAGCGGUUGUGGUGGCAGAGGUCAUCAACGGACAAAAUCUCUGUUGCCUGCCUGGUGCCACGUCGUUGCGGAGGCCCUCCUCUCUCCGCUGUCGCCACCAAAAAUGCACCGACCUGGCCAGCGCCGUCGCACCUCUACAUCCGGCACCACGACGGCAGUGACAACCACCUCGAACACUGUGGCGAGGGACAUUCACAGCCGAAGGUGGAGUGCGGAGGCACGAGGCGGAAUGCCGGUUGGCUCGACCGCGAAGUUCGUCACGGCGGCAGAGCGGGCAUUGGCGCCCCAGCGCGCUGCUGUAGCCGCCUCCGCAGUUGACGACCGCAGGAGGGAGGGAGGAGCGGAGGAGCAAGAGAGCUGCGCGACCCCAACGUCUCACUACUCUCACUUGCCGCCGCGCGAGAGUGCUGGCCCAGACGUAUCCGUGUUUGGUAACGCUAACCCCACCGGGCGCCAAAUCCCUCCGCCGGCGCCUCUGAAAACAACCAAACCGACUCCACCAUCACUGGUACCCUACAGUAGUGAGCCUGACGGCGUUGGCGGCGGCCGUGGCAUCGUGCGGGUCGUGGCAGAGACGACCACCGUGGACUUUGACGCUCAUGACGCGCCUCACGCGUACGCGCAAGUGCUCAUGGAGGUCGACACCAAACAUGCCACCACCACAUCGACCGUCUUAGGGUCUGGGGAUGCUGGCGUAGCCGCUAACGCCGACGCCGCCGCCGUAGCGGCGCCCACGCUGGAGCGGGCGCACACACGCAAGGUUCAGCUCUCCACCUCUACCACGCUGUGCCGAUUUCAAGGCUACCACCAACGCAGGCGCGAUGGGGGUGACGCCGUUGCCAAUCCAGGGGUUGAUGACUGUGGUGUCGGUGUCGGUGCUCCCGUUGCUCCUGUGCCGACGACAACGGCAGCAAGCGCGAAAAACAAUACGGACGACACCUCGUGGCUGAAUUACGGUGGUGCCCGCGUUGGCGAUCCCUCGGCUUCGCCGACUCGAUUCCGCGCUGUCGGCGCGACAUGGGAAAAGCAGGGCGGCCACGCGAGUACUAUCGCUCGCAGUAUCGGUGCCGCGGUAGUGUCGCUGCACUCUGACGCUGCACGGCCGCAUACGCGCACAUGUAGGCCUCCCGUCUUAGAGUCGGCUUCUGCAGUGACGCAGCUGACGAUGCUGGCUCCCGAUGGCACCGAAAUGGUGGUGCAGGAGCACACGAACGAGCGCCCAUCGCAACGACGCCACGUUCAGGUCGGCUGCUGUGCAGGCACCACUGCUGCCUCUUCCGGCUACGCAGCUCGGAAAAACUCCCCCUACAUCAUGGGUGGGUGCGCCAAUACCGGAUAUCUGCGCUUCGGUGACGUCGCGACCGCAUCGCCGAGCGCGGCUGUGACGACCGCAUCAGGCAUGCUCGCCAAGCCGGCUGCAGCGAUGCGGCCCAGUGUCAUUAUGCGGUCUCCAGCCGUACCGGCGGGGCUAGCUGGUGAGUCCGAGGGCGGCGGCGAUGGUGGAGAUGUGGACCACUCCUCAGAAGGCCUCGUGAACACCAGCCAGAACACACGGUUCAAGGGCGCAGACGGCCUUGGCUCUCUGUCCAUUUACGCAGAGACGGUACCGCUGUUUCAGAUGCUACCGGCGCCGAUCGAAGGUGUUCCUAUGUCCUCCUCUUCGCUGGCGUCGCCGCUGCAGAAUCGUCCGGAGCAGCAGCAGCCACAGGGCGUAUCUAACGUUGCGAAGGUGAGCAGCGUGAGUCGCGUGCCAAGGAGGCCACUUGCACAGCAUCUUCCCAAGCUGGGACAUCCGGCAGGGCAUACAGCCGAGUGCGAUGUGUGACGAGAGCGCGAGCGGCGAGGCGCUCGAUCUUGUUCCUCUGCGCCUUGCCCUUUUCAGACUGCGCAUGUCUGCUUUUGGUGGUUGGCGUGGGCUUUAUGGAGUGUAAAGGGAGGGAGGGAGAGGGGGGCUGCUGCUGUGAAAGGUGCAGCCAAGGGUCCUUGCUGGUGUGCGUGUGCGUUGUAUGCUGCUCUUACAGUUUUUCCUACUUGAUGCUCGGCUUUGUACUCGCUAAAGACGUGUAUUUCUUUCCAGCAGCCUUCUUCUCUCCUCUCCUCCCUCUUCACCACUUCCUCUCUGUUGCAGACCCACGCCUCGCUCGAUCGACUACACGGCAGGGAAACGAGGCGGAUGUGUGUGUGUGGGGGGGGUGAUGGUGAUGUGGCCGAGGAGGCACACAGAGCGAGAUGGGAUGGAGGGGCGUCGCGUCUCCUGCGUCGAUGCCUCUCCACCCCCUCAUGAAGAAGUCUUUUCGACACGUGGUGGCGUGGACCUGCAUGCCCUCUCUUCCUUCCCCCUUUUUCAGCACAGGCAUGCAACAGCGCGUAGUCGCGCAGGAGGAACACGCGCAUCAUAUGAGGAAAAAAUUGCCACCUUUCUGUGUGCCUUUCGUGUAUGCGCAAGCACUUCUGUGCGUGCUUGUGUGCACGCAGAGCGUGUGCUUUUUUCUUUGAGCGAGGCCGGCACCGGGGCGGCAACAGCCGUCCAUCCCUCUCUCUCUACGUUGUUGGGCGUCUUUUCGUUAUUAUUAUUAUUAUUAUUCUGCACUUUUCUUUCUUUGCUGUUUGGCCACCCCACACCUCCCCCUUCCCCCUUUUCUCUUUUUAUGUGUGCGUCUGUGUGUGUUGGUUCUUUAGCAGCAUUGCUCGCAUGGGAUGGCAAAACCUUUACCUCCCUCCUUUUCGUUUUUUUUUUGUUCCGUAUCUCUUUCCGUCCCUUCUCCUCCGUUGUGCCCUGCACUUUCCCCCUUCCCUCUCUCUCUGUCUAGGUCUUGUCUUAUGCUUCUCCCUGCUUUGUCCUCGCAACUAUCUUGUACUGCCCCCCCCCCCCGCCCGCCAUCUUCCUCCUUUUCCUCUCCAUUCUUUUAUUUCGUUUAUGUGUUGCUUUCUUGUCUCUUGAAAUUUGCACCAUUGUGCUGUUGUUUGUGUGUGUGUGUGUGUGUGCAUGCGCCAUGCUAUUCACCGUUGAAUCAGGUGGCACCCACUCCUUUCUUCCUUUUGCGUCUUCGCUCUCUCUUUUCCAUUCCGGACCACUGGCUGCUUUCUCUUUGGUUUUGUAGCUCGUCUGUCCUCCCCCUUCCCUCUAUCGCACUUAACCCUAUCUCCACCUGCCUUCCUCUCGCUUACCUCAAGAGCUUCUUCAUCCGUUUCUUCGUCCAUCACAGAAGUGUCUUUCCCCAUGUGUUUGUGUAUGCGAGCAUCGUUUUGUGCUUUUUUUUUCGGGUCUUUUCGGUUUCUCUGCUCCCCCAUGUGUGCCCUCUGUCUCUCUCUCUCUCCUUCAUGCCUCUUCCAUCGGUCUUCCCUAUGCGCUGGAUUCGUUUCUUGAGAGCAUCCCCCCACCUCUCCCUACUUUUUCCACACCUUCUUCCAGCUGAAGCGACGUUUUUUUUUUUGUUCGCUCCUUUUCCUUUUCGCAGUUGGCAGACAAUUCAAGGAUAAAGUGAAAUAAGGGAAGCCGAGGACAGUGAGAGAACUCGAGGACAGGGAGGGGUGGACUGCUAGGCGAUGGCUUCAGGAUCAGUAGCGGAUCUUCGCACGAGCACCCACCCACCCACACCAUACACACGUCGAAGACUCCAAGGGAGAUGUAUUUUUGCUAGUCAAGUAGCCUCCCCCAUGUCAAAAACCAGCAGCAAUGAAAUAAGGAGGAACCCUCACAAGCUGAAAGAAGCCGUUGGUGAUGUUUUAGGGGUAGGCGGGCGGAGUGCAGUGCGGUGUCAUGGUCGGUUUCUUCAGUUAUUGCUCUCCUUUCAUUCUAGACCCUCUUGCUUUCUGACGUCCCCCUCAUGAAGUCCGCCCGCACAUCCCCUACUCUGUCUCCCAUGCUCUUUUUCUAGCUGCCUUUGAUUGCGGAAUAACGGAACAACCAAUAAACGGAAAUCAUAAAAAAAGCAAAGUGGUGCUCUCUUUGUUGGGACGGGCGCACGUCCGUGCGUGUGUACGUGCCUGCGUUGAAUCCCCCUCCCUCCCUCCCUUCCUUCCUCUCUCCCCGGUUUGUCUAGUCGAUUUCUCUUUUUGUUCGUGCUUUUUCUUUCUCCGGGUGUGUUCUAUGUUUUCUUUCCGACGGCCCCCUCUCUCUUCUCCGGUUUCCACAUUUCUGUUGUACCUCCCCUCCUUCCCAUCUCACUCUUCUCACUCUCUACUGCUUUUCUGUUCUCUGCUGUGUUGUACGUUUCCAUGCUACUCGCCUUUAUCUCCCUGUGUGCGUGUGUGGGCUGUGCCUCCGUCUCCUGGUUCUGCACUGCCGUUCUAUCACGGCUGCCACUCCUCCUCUUUCACGUCUGCCUUCUCCCUUCGCCGCUUUCUCUCCCUCUUGCCCGUUGGCACCGAACGUAUUUCUUCGUUUUAUUUUCGCUCAUACGCCCUCUCCCCUCUGUUUGCACACACACACACACACACACACGUGCAUACAUCGAUAUAUAUAUAUAUAUAUUUAUAUGUUAUGUAUUAUAUAUAUCUAUAUAUAUGGAUAUAUAUUAG